CCCCUGUCUCUCUCUGUCUCAGUCCCCCUCCGUCUACCUGUUACUCGCUCUCUCUCUCUCACAAACACACACACACACACACACACACACACACACACACACACACACACACACACGUGUCCAGUGACCUCCUCAGUGCUGGGCCUGUGUAGAUAUUUUUGGGCAGUGUGGGAAAGAGUCUGUCUAGUAGUCUGCAUAAUGACUCAACAAAGAGGCAAACAGAAAAAACAACUACGUGUUUAGAGAGUUGGCAAUGGCAUUAAUGAGUUCCAGGGUGAAAUGUCCUCUAGAUACAGAUCUAGGAUCAUCUACCUCUUCUCCAAUCCACAACCUUAACCAACCAUGAGGAAUAUGCAAAACUGGCCCAAGAUCAGUAUCUAGGAGAAAACUUCAAUCCUGUCUCAGAGCUCUACUCUAAUUGUCCGUAGAGCUCUGAGACAGGAUUGUGUCGAGGCACAGAUCUGGGGGAAGGGUACCAAAAAAAUGUCUGCAGCAUUGAAGGUCUCCAAGAACACAGUGGUCUCCAUCAGUCUUAAAUGCAGAAGUUUGGAACCACCAAGACUCUUCCUAGAGCUUGCCGACCGGCCAAACUGAGCAAUUGGUGGAGAAUGGCCUUGGUCAGGGAGGUGACCAAGAACCCCGAUGGUCACUUUGACAGAGCUCCAGAGUUCCUCUGUGGAGAUGGGAGAACCUUCCAGAAGGACAACCAUCUCUGCAGCACUCUACCAAUCAGGCCUUUAGAGGGGCCAGACGGGAGCCACUCCUCAGUAAAAGGCACAUGACAGCCUGCUUGGAGUUUGCCAAAAGGCACCUAAAAGACUCUCAGACCAUGAUGGUCUGAUGAAACCAAUAUUGAACUCUUUGGCCUGAAUGCCAAGAGUCACGCUUGGAGGAAACCUGGCACCACUGGAGUAAAGUACAGAGAGAUCCUUGAUGAAAACCUGCUCCAGAGCGCUCAGGACCUCAAACUGGGGUGAUGGUUCACCUUCCAACAGGACAACGACCCUAAGGACACAGCCAAGACAACGCAGGAGUGGCUUCGGGACAAGUCUUUGAAUGUCCUUGAGUGGCCCAGCCAGAGCCCGGACUUGAAACCGAUUGAACAUCUCUGAAGAGACCUGAAAACAGCUGUGCAGUGACGUUCCUCAUCCAACCUGACAGAGCUUGAGAGGAUCUGCAGAGAAGUGAGAAACUCCCCAAAUACAGGUGUGCCAAGCUUGUAGCGUCAUACCCAAGAAGACUCUAGGCUGUAAUCUCCAUAGGUCUACCAACAUCCCAAUAUAUCUCCAUAGGCCGACCAACACCCCAAUAUAUCUCCAUAGGCCGACCAACACCCCAAUAUAUCUCCAUAGGCCGACCAACACCCCAAUAUAUCUCCAUAGGUCUACCAACACCCCAAUAUAUCUCCAUAGGCCGACCAACACUCCAAUAUAUCUCCAUAGAUCUACCAACACCCCAAUAUAUCUCCAUAGGCCGACCAACACCCCAAUAUAUCUCCAUAGGUCUACCAACACCCCAAUAUAUCUCCAUAGGUCUACCAACACCCCAAUAUAUCUCCAUAGAUCUACCAACACCCCAAAUAACCAUCACCCCAAAUAACCAUCACCCCAAAUAACCAUCACCCCAAAUAACCAUCACCCCAAAUAACCAACACCCCAAAUAACCAACACCCCAAAUAACCAUCACCCCAAAUAACCAACACCCCAAAUAACCAACACCCCAAAUAACCAUCACUCCAAAUAACCAACACCCCAAAUAACCAUCACCCCAAAUAACCAUCACCCCAAAUAACCAUCACCCCAAAUAACCAACACCCCAAAUAACCAACACCCCAAAUAACCAACACCCCAAAUAACCAAAAAAGAUGCCUCAAGACAUAAAUCCUCUGUAGUUAGUUAGCCCAUUUUGAAUGGAUUUUAAAGGGAUAAUUUCAGGGUGAAUGCCAAGUGUCACUGAUCUCACUGCCUGUGUCCCAAAUGGGACCCUAUUCGCUAUAUAGUUCACUACUUUUGACGAGAGACCUAUGGGCCCAGGUCAAAUGUAUUGCCCUAAAUAGGGAAUUGGUUGCCAUUUGGGACACAGACACUGUGUGCUGAAGUAAACACUCCAGUAGGUCUAGAGUUGUUUGAGAGUUGUUUGAGAGUUGUUUUAUAGUUGUUUUAGAGUUGUUUUAGAGUUGUUUGAGAGUUGUUUGAGAGUUGUUUGAGAGUUGUUCGAGAGUUGUCCGAGAGUUGUCCGAGAGUUGCUCUAGGUGAAGCAUCCUGUCUUUGUUUUUUGAAGGUUUUGUAGCCCAUCAACCACUAGCGCUAGCCUGGGUAACCACUAGCGCUAGCCUGGGUAACCACUAGCGCUAGCCUGGGUAACCACUAGCGCUAGCCUGGGUAACCACUAGCGCUAGCCUGGGUAACCACUAGCGCUAGCCUGGGUAACAGUAUGAUUGUGCUAUCAUUCUACUUCUUGCCACUCCCUGUCAACAGUCCUGCUUGUAGACAACCAGGAAACAGCCCUGCUUGUAGACAACCAGGAAACAGCCCUGCUUGUAGACAACCAGGAAACAGCACUGCUUGUAGACAACCAGGAAACAGCCCUGCUUGUAGACAACCAGGAAACAGCCCUGCUUGUAGACAACCAGGAAACAGCCCUGCUUGUAGACAACCAGGAAACAGCCCUGCUUGUAGACAACCAGGAAACAGCACUGCUUGUAGACAACCAGGAAACAGCCCUGCUUUUAGACAACCAGGAAACAGCCCUGCUUGUAGACAACCAGGAAACAGCCCUGCUUGUAGACAACCAGGAAACAGACUUGCUUGUAGACAACCAGGAAACAGCCCUGCUUGUAGACAACCAGGAAACAGCACUGCUUGUAGACAACCAGGAAACAGCCCUGCUUGUAGACAACCAGGAAACAGCCCUGCUUGUAGACAACCAGGAAACAGCCCUGCUUGUAGACAACCAGGAAACAGCCCUGCUUGUAGACAACCAGGAAACAGCACUGCUUGUAGACAACCAGGAAACAGCCCUGCUUGUAGACAACCAGGAAACAGCACUGCUUGUAGACAACCAGGAAACAGCCCUGCUUGUAGACAACCAGGAAACAGACUUGCUUGUAGACAACCAGGAAACAGCCCUGCUUGUAGACAACCAGGAAACAGCACUGCUUGUAGACAACCAGGAAACAGCCCUGCUUGUAGACAACCAGGAAACAGCCCUGCUUGUAGACAACCAGGAAACAGCCCUGCUUGUAGACAACCAGGAAACAGCCUUGCUUGUAGACAACCAGGAAACAGCACUGCUUGUAGACAACCAGGAAACAGCACUGCUUGUAGACAACCAGGAAACAGCCCUGCUUAUAGACAACCAGGAAACACCACUGCUUGUAGACAACCAGGAAACAGC
ensembl:lncRNA